AGGAUUAACGCUGGCGGCGUGCCUAACACAUGCAAGUCGAACGAGGUAGCAAUACCUAGUGGCAGACGGGUGAGUAACGCGUGGUCAACCUACCGUUGAGUGGGGGAUAACUAGCCGAAAGGUUAGCUAAUACCGCAUACGUCUCCGAGGGGCAUCCCUUGGCGAUAAAAGGAGCAAUCCGCUCGAUGACGGGACCGCGUCCCAUUAGCUAGAUGGUGGGGUAAUGGCCUACCAUGGCUCCGAUGGGUAGCUGGUUUGAGAGAGCGACCAGCCACACUGGGACUGAGAAACGGCCCAGACUCCUACGGGAGGCAGCAGUGAGGAAUUUUCCGCAAUGGGCGAAAGCCUGACGGAGCGACGCCGCGUGUGGGAAGAAGGCCUUCGGGUCGUAACCACUGUCGAAGGGGACGAUGAUGACGGUACCCUUGGAGGAAGCCCCGGCUAACUACGUGCCAGCAGCCGC
rnacentral:rRNA from 1 species